rnacentral:tRNA from 1 species
GUCUCAGUGGCGCAAUGGUAGCGCGUUGGACUUCUAAUCCAAAGGCUGCGGGUUCGAGCCCCGCCUGAGAUG